UGGUGAGCUCUGAGAGGAACCAUGCCUCCUCCUUCUCAUGGACCAGAGGAUCUGGAUCUAAGAAGGUGCACGUACAGAUGUGCAGAGUGUGCAUGGUGAGGGGGGCUGACGCCAGACUGUGGUGGGCCAUGUCUGAGGAGAGAUCCAGGCUCGGCCCAAAUGGAUUCCCCCACAUGGCUGCCAUGGUGAUGGCGGUGACCGGAGUUCAGCUCAUUGGAGGACAGGUGAGACAGUAUCAGUCUCACGUAUGUUCUAAGACUGACUUCUACUCCCCGGUUCUGGCUGAUGAAGGG